rnacentral:lncRNA from 1 species
AAAACUGUGUAGUGUUUGUAUCAAUUGUCAAGCAAUUUAAAGUAGAUGUGUAAGGUGACCUGUGUGCAUCAUUGUAUACAUUUUUCCUCAUAAUGAAACAAAAUAAUCCAUUUAUGGGAGAAACUUUAGUAAUAAGUGCAGUAGUAAUGAGUGCAGUAGUAGUUUGAUACUAGUAAAGCAAUAAGUAUAACGGAUGCUAUCAAGCCGAAAGAAAUAUGCUGAACUCUUGUAGUAAGCUAAGUAAAUAUGCUAGAGUAUUGGUUUGAGGGGAUGUGUAUUAAUGUAAUGUGUAGUCAAAUGUCUUAGUUGAACAGAGGAUAAAAAAACUAAAUUCAAAAAUCUUCAAACUAAUAUAAAAAUGAAUAUAGUGGAAGCGUGAAGAUUUACAAACUAAGCAUGUGUUCAGAAUCUGAGUACAACAGACUCCUUUAAGGUGUGGAAUCAGAUUUGAUC